rnacentral:rRNA from 1 species
AUUGAACGCUGGCGGCAUGCUUUACACAUGCAAGUCGGACGGCAGCGGGGUAGUGCUUGCACUACUGCCGGCGAGUGGCGAACGGGUGAGUAAUAUAUUGGAACGUACCGAGUAAUGGGGGAUAACCAAUCGAAAGAUUGGCUAAUACCGCAUACGCUCUGAGGAGGAAAGCAGGGGACCUUCGGGCCUUGCGUUAUUCGAGCGGCCAAUAUCUGAUUAGCUAGUUGGUGGGGUAAGGGCCUACCAAGGCGACGAUCAGUAGCGGGUCUGAGAGGAUGAUCCGCCACACUGGGACUGAGACACGGCCCAGACUCCUACGGGAGGCAGCAGUGGGGAAUUUUGGACAAUGGGCGCAAGCCUGAUCCAGCCAUGCCGCGUGUCUGAAGAAGGCCUUCGGGUUGUAAAGGACUUUUGCUAGGGAAGAAAAAGGAGCGGUUAAUACCCGUUUCUGCUGACGGUACCUAAAGAAUAAGCACCGGCUAACUACGUG